rnacentral:rRNA from 1 species
CCUACGGGUGGCAGCAGUGAGGAAUAUUGGUCAAUGGACGAGAGUCUGAACCAGCCAAGUAGCGUGAAGGAUGACUGCCCUAUGGGUUGUAAACUUCUUUUAUAUGGGAAUAAAAUGUUCCACGUGUGGGAUUUUGUAUGUACCAUAUGAAUAAGGAUCGGCUAACUCCGUGCCAGCAGCCGCGGUAAUACGGAGGAUACGAGCGUUAUCCGGAUUUAUUGGGUGUAAAGGGAGCGUAGGUGGAAUGUUAAGUCAGUUGUGAAAGUUUGCGGCUCAACCGUAAAAUUGCAGUUGAAACUGGCAGUCUUGAGUACAGUAGAGGUGGGCGGAAUUCGUGGUGUAGCGGUGAAAUGCGUAGAUAGCACGAAGAACACCGAUUGCGAAGGCAGUUCACUGGACUGCAACUGACACUGAGGCUCGAAAGUGUGGGUAUCAAACAGGAUUAGAUACCCCAGUAGUC